rnacentral:tRNA from 11 species
AAUGAAUUGCCUGAUAAAAGGGUUAUCUUGAUAGGGUAAAUUAUGUAGGAUUCUACAUUCAUUG